AGAAGAGAAGCAUGGCAGGACUCAAUAAAGUUAUUGGUUCUGUAUUGGAGUCGAUACACCGUAAAUCUUAGUGGACCUACAGUGUCCAUCCAAUAUCUUUGAAAAUAAUGAAUUAAAUCAUGCAGCUCCUCUUCAAGAUAACAGAUAAAUGAAUUUGUAUGACACGACUAACCCAAUUCUUGGACAACAUCAAAUUCUAAUUGAAUGGAAAAGAGACCACGGUUGAAUCUGAUUUCAUUAGCCGGAAAAUGAGAUUUAUUGGCUGUUUAUACUUACUUGAACAAAAUGAAACCAACAUCCAGUAAUGUUGGCUUCAGGAAAUACUCGGGCAAUGACAUUUCUUAAUCCUUGUUCAAAAUCUGUAAUAAUUUGAAGCUGGUCAUAGUUCAAAUUCAGUUGCAAAUCAUUCCUAAAAUACUGCAGAACUCGACAGUAUGAUUCUGUUUGACGGUCAAUUAAAAGUGCAUGAACGAUUGCUAUAUACUAACCACAUCAUUGACAACUAUUUGAAUGGUAAAUAGUUGUUCAAUGUCGGGUGGUUGUCUUGGUCGAACUUGAAACGUCCUCUCCAUGCAUACAGUUCCAACAGCCCGAAGAUGUACAUU